UUAGUUUCUGUUUAUGCCCUCUCCGCCUCUGUUUGCACCUAACCUCCUGAAUAAAACUCCCUGCAUUUUGGGUCCUCUAUAACAACUCCACACCUCUGUCGCCGCAGCUGUGGAAGUACGGACCAGCCGCAUGUGGAGAUGCCUGGCCCGUCGGAGCCACCUCCAAGGAGAAAGCAGAGCCGCGCCGCCAGCACGUCUCUCCACAGCAGAGUUUUGGGACUUCAGAGCAGCAAGAUGUGUGGAUGGAACAUCAUUGCUCAGAAACUGAGACCCCUGAAGAGCUGCAACAACCUCCCUGGUUCCAGCUUGAUCCACUAACUCUGAUUGGAGAACCUUCAAAUAAAUCCAUCUUCUCCAUCUUCUCCUAAAAGUGGAUGGAACAUCAUUGCUCUGAAACUGAGACCCCUGAAGAGCUGCAACAACCUCCCUGGUUCCAGCUUGAUCCACUAACUCUGAUUGGAGAACCUUCAAAUAAAUCCAU